rnacentral:rRNA from 1 species
AUUGAACGCUGGCGGCAUGCUUUACACAUGCAAGUCGAACGGUAACAGGGAGCUUGCUCCGCUGACGAGUGGCGAACGGGUGAGUAAUGCAUCGGAACGUACCCAGUCGUGGGGGAUAACGUAGCGAAAGUUACGCUAAUACCGCAUACGUCCUGAGGGAGAAAGCGGGGGACCGUAAGGCCUCGCGCGAUUGGAGCGGCCGAUGUCGGAUUAGCUAGUUGGUAGGGUAAAGGCCUACCAAGGCGACGAUUCCGUAGCGGGGUCUGAGACGGAUGAUCCCGCCACACUGGGACUGAGACACGGCCCAGACUCCUACGGGAGGCAGCCAGUUGGGGGAAUUUUGGACAAUGGGCGAAAGCCUGAUCCAGCCA